rnacentral:rRNA from 1 species
AUUGAACGCUGGCGGCAGGCCUAACACAUGCAAGUCGAGCGGAUGAAGGGGGCUUGCUCCUGGAUUCAGCGGCGGACGGGUGAGUAAUGCCUAGGAAUCUGCCUGGUAGUGGGGGAUAACGUCCGGAAACGGGCGCUAAUACCGCAUACGUCCUGAGGGAGAAAGUGGGGGAUCUUCGGACCUCACGCUAUCAGAUGAGCCUAGGUCGGAUUAGCUAGUUGGUGGGGUAAAGGCCUACCAAGGCGACGAUCCGUAACUGGUCUGAGAGGAUGAUCAGUCACACUGGAACUGAGACACGGUCCAGACUCCUACGGGAGGCAGCAGUGGGGAAUAUUGGACAAUAGGCGAAAGCCUGAUCCAGCCAUGCCGCGUGUGUGAAGAAGGUCUUCGGAUUGUAAAGCACUUUAAGUUGGGAGGAAGGGCAGUAAGUUAAUACCUUGCUGUUUUGACGUUACCAACAGAAUAAGCACCGGCUAACUUCGUG